rnacentral:rRNA from 1 species
GUGGGGAAUAUUGCACAAUGGGCGAAAGCCUGAUGCAGCAACGCCGCGUGAAGGAAGAAGGCCCUUGGGUCGUAAACUUCUGUUCUAAGGGAAGAUAAUGACGGUACCUUAGGAGCAAGUCCCGGCUAACUACGUGCCAGCAGCCGCGGUAAUACGUAGGGGGCGAGCGUUAUCCGGAAUUAUUGGGCGUAAAGAGUACGUAGGUGGUUAUCUAAGCGAGGGGUUUAAGGCAAUAGCUCAACUAUUGUUUGCCCCGCGAACUGGGUGACUUGAGUGCUGGAGAGGAAAGCGGAAUUCCUAGUGUAGCGGUGAAAUGCGUAGAUAUUAGGAGGAACAUCAGUGGCGAAGGCGGCUUACUGGACUGUAACUGACGCUGAGGCGCGAAAGUGUGGGGAGCAAACAGGAUUAGAUACCCGGGUAGUCC